ensembl:lncRNA
CAAAGAAUCAACACAACUGAGCGACUUUCACUUUCACUUUCAGAGAGAAAAGAGGUUGUGAAACUUUCUCCUAGGAGACCAAGAGGGUGAAGGAAUCAUGGAAUCCUCCUGGGGAUUUGCAGGCACACAGAGAUACUUCCUGAGUCUCAAGGGUAAACAAUGCUUUCGUUGCUUCAAGAGUUGGGGCAUCAGACCAGAGCACCCAACUAAGGAAACUGGAGACCAUGAGAAGCCACUGGAAGUCUGUGAGCAGGAGAAUGACAUUGUAACAUGACCAAAGCACAAAACCACCUUCUGCAGCCCAUCGGCUGGCGCUGGCUUCCUCACCAGUUCAAUUUCCCUGGAACUCUGAGGCCAGCAGAAAACUCCGGAAACUGAAACCAAGAAACCUCCAGAGUUCCCAGAGGAAAUUGGACCACCCGAACCUUUCUAAAAAUGGGUGAUCACUGACCAAAUUACAAGUCAGGAUGAGGGUCUCUGGGGCAUGAAUUUUUCUGAGGUUUCAGAAUAUUUUCACUGGACUGAGAAUGUUUGGACUCAGGUUUUUGGUUUUCUGGAUCAGGAAAAAUAUCUGGGCCAUUUUCCCCUCAGGAGAACAGAGCAAAGGGACCAC